CACCUCUAGCAUACCAAGUAUUAGAGGCUCCGCCUGCCCAGUGACAAUCAACGUUCAACGGCCGCGGUAUCCUGACCGUGCAAAGGUAGCAUAAUCACUUGUUCUUUAAAUAAGGACUAGCAUGAAAGGCUUAACGAGGGUUUAACUGUCUCUUUUUUAUAGUCAAUGAAACUGACCUUCCCGUGAAGAGGCGGGAAUUAAAAAACAAGACGAGAAGACCCUAUGGAGCUUAAAUUAAUUAACUCACUUCUACAACUCUCAAUCAACAAGAGACAAAAAAUAAACUAUGAGUUAAUAAUUUUGGUUGGGGUGACCUCGGAGCAAAGACAAACCUCCGAAUGAUUCUAACUUAGACCUACAAGUCAAAGAAUCAAUCAUAAAUUGACCCAGAGACUAUCUGAUCAAUGAACCAAGUUACCCUAGGGAUAACAGCGCAAUCCUAUUCUAGAGUCCAUAUCGACAAUAGGGUUUACGACCUCGAUGUUGGAUCAGGACCCCCAAAUGGUGCAACCGCUAUUAAAGGUUCGUUUGUUCAACGAUUAAAGUCCU
rnacentral:rRNA from 1 species